UACCUUUGAAGACAGUAAACAUCAAAGUUG
rnacentral:piRNA from 1 species